rnacentral:rRNA from 1 species
AACGAACGCUGGCGGCAGGCCUAACACAUGCAAGUCGAGCGAGGACUUCGGUUCUAGCGGCGGAUGGGUGAGUAACGCGUGGGAAUGUGCCCUUCUCUACGGAAUAGCUCUGGGAAACUGGGAGCAAUACCGUAUACGCCCUAUUGGGGAAAGAUUUAUCGGAGAAGGAUCAGCCCGCGUUGGAUUAGGUAGUUGGUGGGGUAAUGGCCUACCAAGCCGACGAUCCAUAGCUGGUUUGAGAGGAUGAUCAGCCACACUGGGACUGAGACACGGCCCAGACUCCUACGGGAGGCAGCAGUGGGGAAUCUUAGACAAUGGGGGCAACCCUGAUCUAGCCAUGCCGCGUGAGUGAUGAAGGCCUUAGGGUUGUAAAGCUCUUUCAGCUGGGAAGAUAAUGACGGUACCAGCAGAAGAAGCCCCGGCUAACUCCGUG